rnacentral:rRNA from 1 species
AGAUUGAACGCUGGCGGCAGGCCUAACACAUGCAAGUCGAGCGGUAACGCGGGGCAACCUGGCGACGAGCGGCGGACGGGUGAGUAACGCGUAGGAAUCUACCUGGUAGUGGGGGAUAGCCCGGGGAAACUCGGAUUAAUACCGCAUACGCCUUAAGGGGGGAAAGCAGGGGAACUUCGGUCCUUGUGCUAUCAGAAGAGCCUGCGUUGGAUUAGCUAGUUGGUAGGGUAAAGGCCUACCAAGGCGACGAUCCAUAGCUGGUCUGAGAGGAUGAUCAGCCACACUGGGACUGAGACACGGCCCAGACUCCUACGGGAGCAGCAGUGGGAAUAUUGGACAAUGGGGGCAACCUGAUCCAGCCAUGCCGCGUGUGUGAAGAAGGCCUUCGGGUUGUAAAGCACUUUAAGUGGGAGGAAGGGUAGGAAAGUCGUAAAUACCUUUACGAUCGUAUUGACGCUACCCACAAGAAUAAGCACCGGCUAACUCUGU